rnacentral:rRNA from 1 species
AUGAUAUAUACAUACUACCUAAAUUUACUUACCACAUUGCCCUUGGUCUUUGAUAGGAGUGACGACGCCCUUGGUCCUCCAAUCAACUGCCGCUGGAAGUGCAUCAGUGCUGACAUUGUUGUACUUGAACCUAGUUGGAGCCCUAGCACCAUUUCUUUUGAGGCCCUUGUUGGUCUUGGUUGCUCUGAACUCAUCGUUGGUGAGAUCGGUGAAUUGGUUGACACCGAGCCAGAACUUGUGAUUUCCGGUGUUGAACGACUCGAUGAAGGCAACAUUGGCCUUGAACGCCUUGAACCGAUGCGCCUUCUCGGUGCUGUCCUUGUAAACACGGUUAAACUUCGCCAUCCACUGCUCAUGCUUCUCCACCAUGGCCGCGUCACCAAGUUCCCGAGCUGA